GUGGGGAAUCUUAGACAAUGGGCGCAAGCCUGAUCUAGCCAUGCCGCGUGAGUGAUGAAGGCCCUAGGGUUGUAAAGCUCUUUCAGCUGGGAAGAUAAUGACGGUACCAGCAGAAGAAGCCCCGGCUAACUCCGUGCCAGCAGCCGCGGUAAUACGGAGGGGGCUAGCGUUGUUCGGAAUUACUGGGCGUAAAGCGCACGUAGGCGGACCGGAAAGUCAGAGGUGAAAUCCCAGGGCUCAACCUUGGAACUGCCUUUGAAACUCCUGGUCUUGAGGUCGAGAGGGGUGAGGGGAAUUCCGAGUGUAGAGGUGAAAUUCGUAGAUAUUCGGAGGAACACCAGUGGCGAAGGCGGCUCACUGGCUCGAUACUGACGCUGAGGCGCGAAAGCGUGGGGAGCAAACAGGAUUAGAAACCCGAGUAGUCC
rnacentral:rRNA from 1 species